AUUUAUCCAGAUAUUUAUUAUUUUGGGCACUCUUCAUGCUUUCCUGAGGAUCCGAGUUUCCAUAUGAUAAUAUUGCCCACCCGCCAAACAAACUAACCCUGAAAAUGGAUGGUGCUGGAGGAGCAGAAAAGGAUUGAGCAGAUGGCGUCAUUCCCCAUUUUUCAACCCCCCAACCCCAAGCUCCCAGCCCUGCAGAUGCUCUGCCCUGAGACUUGAAGCCUGGGGCACAGGCCUGUUUGGAGCCAAUGCAGGCGCAGAUCUUGGCGGUCGAAGCAAAUAUUCAGAUGAGAACUUUGAAGGCCGAUGUGGGGAAGAGUUCCAUGUGAACAGCAUGACAGCCGAGGCCAAAUGUGGAGAUGGCAUAACCAGAAGAGGGAACGAACUGGCCUGGAUGUGACUCAUACUUGGAAGGGAGCUGUCUGGAAAGGCCACAGUACCUGCAGCCAACUUUGUACUGCCUCCCAGCUAGAUCCUGUCUCUUAGGAACUUUUACCAAGAGCUAGAACGGAAAGGACAUGGAAGGAAGGAGAGGAGAAGUGGGAAGACAAGAAAGUAUUUACCGAGCUGGUCUACUCUCUGGGCUAA